rnacentral:lncRNA from 1 species
CAUACUUUUUUAUUUUAGUACUCUAUAAUUUAAAGUGUAUUAAUCUAGUACCCAGUGGUUUCGCACCUUCUCACUUUAAUAUCCUUUGGUUAAAUUAUAUAUAAAAAAUUUCAAAUAUUCUACAUAGAUUUAUGAAAUUUUUACUUUAGUACCCUUUAGCUUUAACUUUAUCACUUUUUUUUUCCCUCCGUUAAUAUUUUAUUAAAUUAUAUACAAAAAACUUCAGAUAUCCUAUCAAAAUUUAUCGAAUAUUCACUUUAAUAUCCUUUAAUUUUAACUUUGUUACUAAUUUAACGAAAAAAAUUAGUAAAAUAAAUAAUAAAAAAAAUAAAACCACAUGGUACUAACUUGGUACACUUUAAACCACAUGGUAGGUACUAAAGUGAGAAAGUGCAAAACCACAAAGGCUAACUUGAUACACUUUAAACCAUAAAGUACUAAAGCGAGAAAGUGUGAAACUACAGAAAAAGUAUUUGAAGUGUACCCUAUAUUUUUUAACCGAUUGCAAAUUUUACAUUUUAUUUAUUUAAAAUUUUAUAUAUUAUUAAUAUAUUUUUUAUUUA